GAAAAAAAGGUAAAAAGCGUUGAACCGUCGAUCCCCUGCUCAUCUCCUAUUUUCGCUCUCUCUCUCGUUUCUCCUCCCUGAGUGGCGGCUAGGGUUACCGCGGCCGCCGCCCCACCCCUGCUCAUGGCCUCGGUUGAUUUAGCGCCACCGCCACCCCUUUUCUCUUGUCCACGCUCUCUAUCCUUGCAAGAAACCUCUCCUCUCCUCAUCUCUCCUCCGCGUCUUCCUCCGGGGAGCCUUGCGGCUGCAGCAGGAGGGGAGACGAGGAGGCCGGGCCAGCCGAUUUCCUCGCCGGAUCUGGAGCGCAGGGGCGACGCUGGCGAGUAACCGAUCAUGGAGGAGCAUUGGUCGCCGGUGAAGAAAAUGUGGGAGGGAGACGAGAGGAGCACUGAUCAGGGGGAGUCAUCAGGGAUGGUCGAUGAUGCCAAGGCUAUAUUUCUUACAGUGAAGCGAGGGUGACUAAAAAAAUUUGGUGUACGUCAAUCAUUAGCUUGAAUUUUUACCUGCAGCUGAUCUUAUUCUGGUGAGAGUUUGAUGACAGGGAGAAUUAUUAUUAUUGUUGUUGGUCAAGGUAACUGCGAUGCACAUGAUGCAAGAAUUAUAUUUGUGCAGAGGAGGAGCAAUACUCAGAGUGUGAGAGUUAAGUGAGAAUCUGUUGAAACUAAGGUCACAACAGAUCAGGUACUUCAUUUUUGUUUCAACUUAUACUGCUCUCUAAUGUUAUAUCUGCAGACUGCAGGACCUCCAAACUAAAAAUAAAAUUGAAUUUUCUUGGCAGAUUCAGUUGUCUAGAAACUAAUUUGUGGUGUAGUUUGAAAAAAGGCAAAAGACUCGGAUAUAGUCAUAGAACUACAACAUAAAGUUUGAGGAGUGUCCCCAAUCCCAUCAUCUUUCUCUUAGUUUUUACUACAUGAUUCUCUGUGAUGAUUUUAUUCUAAUUUCUCAAUUUAUGUUUUUUCUAAACACAACGCCUGCGGGUCUGAUAAAGAAGAGGAAGAACUUUGUGAAAAUACAGUCACUUUCUUGCAUUUUGACGUGUUUUGCCAAUUUCUGUAUAUUGCUUAUAUGGUUGCACCCAAGGCUUGGUUCAUGGUUGCUGAUGCAUUUUCUAUAGAAAUGCGAUGUUUUUGUUCAUAGUAUGAACAGAAGUUGAACAGUCGAAAACCUAUGUGAAAGCAGCGGCGAAAAGUAUGCUUGAGGAAGAGGUAUGGAACCAGCGUGCCCUUUGGUCAAAGAAUUUUUGUCUGCCUAUCUGUUGAUGGUGAUAGAAAAGGUAAUGAUGCAGCAAAAAUGCAUUACGAUUCUAAAGCUGUCAGGGCUCAGGAGAUGAGUGUCUGAUGGUACUAUUGAUCAGCAUUCAGAUUUGGCAGUUGGAUAAAGAAGCUUCGUUCACAAUAUAAAGGCUGACAAGAAAACUACAGAACGAGUAAAGAUUUGCGACUUGGAAGCGAUGGGAUCAAAUGGUUUGUCUUAAGAGAACAAUACUAUCUAUUUCUUAUUUAUUGUACGUCAAAUGAAGGACUUGCAGAUGCAGAAUAUUAGCACAAAGAAAAAUCUAUAUGGUUUUAAGGGUUUGGAUUCAUCGGUAUGUUGUGUGUUUCUUCACCUGCUCUGGAUAUGAUUGCACAAUAUUUCAGAAAUCGUCCAUGGAUAUGCAUUGUUAGGUGACAAGUUUUUGCGGGUGGUACGGUUCCCAUCUGUCUCUGAUGAAAUAUUCACUUACCAUACUAGUUCGAUCUCAACAUUCCACCCAUUUUUCACAUCUCUAUCAUCGCUUGGAUUUUGUCUCUAACAUUGUUGCUUUCCGGUGGCGAGGGAGCCCUUCACUGAGCCGGUGGAGGUGUCCUUGGCGUAGGCAGGGUAAUGGAUCACCGAGUGCGAGCUGUUGUGUUGGUUCGUCAGAGAGGGUGAACAAGUGUCCAAGUAGAUGAAUUUUCAGCAGUUCUAUGAGGUACAGACCGUACUACUGAAAUAACAAGACAUUUGAAGGGAGUAGUACAUCAGAUUCGUUUAUGGUCCUCUUGCCACCUUAAUAGUGUAUUUCUGACUACAUUAUGUUAUCAAUAGGUUGUAUAGCUUCCAAAUACCGUAGAAAUCAAAGAGUUUGAACUGUUUUAACUGAGAUUAUGUCAAUAUUGUUAGUCUUUACUCCUUUGUUA